rnacentral:rRNA from 1 species
GAUGAACGCUGGCGGCGUGCUUAACACAUGCAAGUCGAACGGAAAGGCUCCUGCUUGCAGGGGUACUCGAGUGGCGAACGGGUGAGUAACACGUUGGUGAUCUGCCCUGCACUUCGGGAUAAGCCUGGGUAACUGGGUCUAAUACCGGAUAGGACGAUGGUUUGGAUGCCAUUGUGGAAAGUUUUUUCGGUGUGGGAUGAGCUCGCGGCCUAUCAGCUUGUUGGUGGGGUAAUGGCCUACCAAGGCGUCGACGGGUAGCCGGCCUGAGAGGGUGUACGGCCACAUUGGGACUGGGAUACGGCGCAGACUACUACGGGAGGCAGCAGUGGGGAAUAUUGCAGAAUGGGCGCAAGCCUGAUGCAGCGACGCCGCGUGGGGGAUGACGGACUUCGGGUUGUAAACUCCUUUCGCUAGGGACGAAGCGCAAGUGACGGUACCUGGAGAAGAAGCACCGGCUAACUACGUG